GAUGAAGAACGUAGCGAAAUGCGAUAAGUAAUGUGAAUUGCAGAAUUCGGUGAAUCAUCGAAUCUUUGGACGCACAUUGCGCCCGCUAGUAUUCUGGCGGGCAUGCCUGUCCGAGCGUCAUUUCAACCCUCAAGCCCCCGGGCUUGGUGUUGGGGAUCGGCGAGCCUCCGCGCCCGCCGUCCCCUAAAUCUAGUGGCGGUCUCGCUGUAGCUUCCUCUGCGUAGUAGCACACCUCGCACUGGGAAACAGCGCGGCCACGCCGUUAAACCCCCAACUUCUGAACGUUUGACCUCGGAUCAGGUAGGAAUACCCGCUGAACUUAAGCAUAUCAAUAAGCGGAGGA
rnacentral:misc_RNA from 1 species